rnacentral:lncRNA from 1 species
CUCAGCCCAGGGCCUGACACACAGGAUCGCUCAGCAACAAAGGAGCCAGAAAAGGCAAGGUGUACACACCGUGUGCAGCAUGGGCGAGCUGCAGGCAUGCAGGUCACUAUCCUUAAUCCCUCUCCCUGUGGGGUCUUCCCUAUCUUGAGCCUGUGGACAGCUGUGCAGUGGCAAGAAAAAGGCCUUCAGAGCUACGCAGACCUGGCUUCAAAUCCCAGCCUCCCUGAUGAGCCCUGGUGGUCUUGCAUGCUUGCCCUUGGGACUCAGACACCAUAUUGUGAGGAAGCCCAAGCUACAUGCAGAGGCCACUAUAGUUGUUCUGGCCAACAGCCCAAGCUUCAGCUGCCAGACAUAUAAAUAAACCAACUCUUCAAAUGAUUUCAGUUUCCAGACUUCAGUGCAUCCCAGGAAUGCCUUCUUCAUCUGUUGAAAUCCAGCCCAUCUAUGAAGAGUCAAAGGCCGCCUUGGCCGUGAAGGCCUCUGGUGCUGUGGGCCCAUGCCAGGGCCCAGGCCCAGGGGUUCUGCAGAGACCACCAGGAUCCCAGCAGGACAAUAGGAAAUCUCAGCAGAGGCAUUCCAGAACACGGAAAAGCCAGUUCCUGAUGAAUCCAGAGGAUGUUCAAAGCUCACCAGGCCAAUGAACCCCGACGGAUUCCCCAGUGGGCCCUCUCUCCUUUCCGUAGAUCUUCUAGGAGUUUUACCAUUUAAAGAGAACUGCAGGAGGCCAUCUUAACCAGACUGUAUGUUUCAUUAAACCAAGAAUGGUAUUUAUUCUAGCAGUAUUCUAGGCACUGGGAUACAACAAAGAGCACAAAUUGAGAGGUGACAGCGUGCUGGCAGUCCUCACAGCCCUCGCUCGCUCUCGGCGCCUCCUCUGCCUGGGCUCCCACUUUGGCGGCACUUGAGGAGCCCUUUGGCCCGCCGCUGCACUGUGGGAGCCCCUUUAUGGGCUGGCCAAGGCUGGAGCCCACUCCCUCAGCUUGCAGGGAGGUGUGGAGGGAGAGGUGCGAGCGGGAACCAGGGCUGCGUGCGGCGCUUGCGGGCCAGCUGGAGUUCCGGGUGGGCGUGGGCUUGGCAGGCCCGGCACUCGGAGUAGCCGGCCAGCCCUGCUGGCCCCGGGCAAUGAGGGACUUAGCACCCGGGCCAGUGGCUGCGGAGGGUGUACUGGGUCCCCCAGCAGUGCCAGCCCACCGGUGCUGCACUCGAUUUCUCACCGAGCCUUAGUUGCCUUCCUGCGGGGCAGGGCUCGGGACCUGCAGCCUGCCAUGCCUGAGCCUCCCACCCACUCCAUGGGCUCCUGUGCAGCCCGAGCCUCCCCAACGAGCAUCACUCCCUGCUCCACGGCGCCCAGUCCCAUCGACCACCCAAGGGCUGAGGAAUGCGAGCACACAGCACGUGACUGGCAG